CCCCCCCCCACGGCACCACCAGGCUUCUGUAACUUAUAAAAUGGCGGCGUCCACAUGUAUACGUCCUUCCCGGGAUUAGCCAGGCAGCUAGAGGAUGACUUAAUAAGGAGAGUGGAGAAACUGGCCAAUUAAUGAACAUGCCCUGGAAGCCUUCUCUGAAGAAGGGAGACAGUUCUGUUGAAGAACUUAAAUUGGCCACCCAACUGACAGGACCUGUGAUGCCCACCCGGAAUGUGUACAAAAAGGAAAAGGCCAGCGUCGACACAGAAGAGAACUCUAAGGCUUUUGCCAGUCUUCACAUGGCCUGUGCCAAUGCCCAAGCAAAAAGCGUGAAGGAAGCUGCGGAGCAAGAUGUUGAAGAGAAAAAGUCCCUUUCUACUCCACGUGCUAUCCAGAUUUACCUAAACCACCAUGCAACACACAAGCACUAUCCCUCUGAUGUGUGAAGUCAGAUACCAGCCUCUGAUUCAGAGACUGCCACCCAAUAAUGAGUUGUAAUUCAGCAGGAUGUGGCCAGAAUGAUCUCAGUGCCACCUACGCCCCUAACACCACCUUUUCUAUAAAAUAUGUCCCUCUGUUCCUUUUACCUAAACGAAGAAGCUGAAAGCAAAAGAGGCUGAAAACCUUCUGUCCCAUUAGUGAGGAGUGUGUCCUUUUCAGAGAGCAAAGCCCUAAACAGAGAGAGCUGUGGGCAAGGACUCACUCAGCAGCUUCCCAGGCACCCAGGGCCUAGAAGCCACUGAGCAGUGACUCACCACAGAAGUCACUAUGCUCAUUGUCCUGCAGAAUUUUCCAGCUGUCCCUUUAUCUCAAAAUGUAUUUGGGAUUUUUUUUUAAGCACCCGCACCAGCCCAAACUACAAAGUUUAAAGCGCCCUUUAACCCAAUUUGGUAAUGUCAAUCAACUUGGGGCCGUCUUGCAGUACACAUCCCCCUCACUACAGGACCAUUAACACCCUUUGCUUUCUGUGGCUGGCCUAAAGCAUUACCUUAGACUAUGCAUACUGUGCCAUUGGGAAGGACAUUCUGACUUGGCGCCUCCUUUGACAUCCCUGCCCCCUCAAUGAUGGGGUAGCUGAGUAAAUUUGUUGAAAUAAAACAAGAUAGCUUGCUGCA
rnacentral:lncRNA from 1 species